rnacentral:lncRNA from 1 species
UUAAAUUACAAUAUGAAUAAUAUCUUAGUUGGAUUUCUCACUGUGGAAAAAUAUACACAUAGUAUAUCAAGAUAGUAACUUAAAGUUACUCAUUCAGAUUUUCAACUAUUUUUAUUAGUAUUAAUACUGGUCAUGACAGUAACAUGGAGCUAUCAAGACUUACAAAGGGCUGUCUGUAGAGCAAAACAAAAAGAACUCAGAACUCUGCAGCUUUCAAGAUUCAUCAGGAUUACCUACUGCCUUGGCACAAAGACGGCCUACAGAACUGUACUAAUUCUACAGGGACUGUGCUUCAUUCUACAAGAGAUGCAUUAAAGGCUGUAGAAGAACACUGCUUUGGAGAGAGCUAUGCCAAGCAAUCUCCACAGCAUCAUUAACUGUAUUUAUUUCUCUUUUCAGAGUGAAACACAGGGCUAUGGAAGAAGGAAUUCUAAGCUAUUUUUCCAUAAACGCAUUUUACAGAACUGUGCAUCAUCAUGAAUCGAAAAGGUCCAGAUAGUCUCUCGAACUCAGGACUUCAACAGUAGGUGACAAAAUUUUCAAAUGCCCUGCAGACGACCUCCUCACAGGGAUGUUGUUUUCUUUAACCUCUUCCUUAUCAAUAUUGUUCCUGGCUAUAAAGAGGAAAAUGGGCCUAAUGAUUUUCCUAGGAAUAUAUUCUUGAAGAAAAUAAACCUGAAAACUGAAAUCAAUUGUUUUGGACAGAAAGAAUAAAUGGAUUCUCCCAAAAGCAAAAGAAGAACUAAACGUGACAUUGAGAACACAAGCAGAGGCAAAUUUGAAAGACCUAUCUAUCUUCAAAAAUUACAUAAUCACUUUGGUUGGGAGUAUUACUAAAAAAAAGAGGUAAACUCAAUGUUUUACUAGAGAUAAUGAAAAUACAACCACUGACUGA